ensembl:lncRNA
AAGUGUGCAGUAUGGGUGCAGACUUUCUCAGUCUUGCCUGGGAUAGUCAUCUUCUUGAUACAGCGUGCUAUCCUUGGGAGGUUCCAGCUCUCAGAAGACUAGCGUGGAAAUGCUGUGGCCGAGUGUCUUCGUUGCAUUUAAUUUUCAGCUCAGCAGACAAUUGCAAGUUGAACAAAUGGGAAAGGCAAAUGGAGAAGGUGCUUGAGUGAAGAGAGUUUGGCUCAUCUCUGGAAGGAGAACCCAGAAACCUUUUGUCUUGGAAGUUCCAAUCUGUGUCUGCUCUCUGGAGGGACGGCAAAGCUCUGUGCAUCACCCACUAGAGGGUGACAGAGCCUAACGCUAGGACACCAGAGGUGACGUGCUCCCCUGAGUGUCGGGUUGGGUGCCCUUGGUCUCCUCCUUGCCCCUGUCCAACUGUAAGGCUGAACGGCUGUGGGUCUGUUGGCAUGGAUCAUCCGUACAGUUUUAGGUGAACUCCUCAGGUGUCCUCUGCUGCCUCCUGUGCGUGGGGCUCGUGGAAAGCAGCUGUGCCCACCCAGUAAGUGUUCAAUAAACACUGAAAUGGAGUCCUGUAUCUUGCUCUUGUGCUGAGGUUCCCACGGUGACUCUGGACUCAUUCACUGUGGCCAAGAAAUUGGCUGAUUGAGAUGAGCAGGAAAAACUUCCCAGAGAAACACAGUGUGUAGCUUAAAGCUCAGAUGGAGCAACUCACUGCACCUGAGACAUGGACUGGGGGGGGGGAGAAGGAUGUGUCAGGGACUGUUCAUAUCAAGUGCAGUGAUGAACUGAUGGUGAGGUAACAUGAUGAUCUAAAAGGAAAGGGUUGCAGUGGCAUGAAAUUGCAUUUUAAAGAGACGGUCAUCUUCAGAGGUGUGGAAAUUGUGGAAUCCUUAGCAUAAAAAGGUUGUGGGACUUGUAGAAUCACAGGAGGUGGAAGAGACCUCUGGAGAUCAUCUCAUCCAACUUUAGAAUAAGUUUGUGAUGGAUUUUGGACGUGAUUUACUACUUUAAUGUUUUAUUAUUAUUUCUGAGAAACCCAUAUAGAACUCUAUUAAUUAAAACUCAGCCCGACACUUUGGCUCCAUAAGAUUUAGGAAUUAGUGAGAUUUUAUCUCAUUAGCGCAUUUAUUGCAGUGUUCGUCCUUUUAAUUAAGCAUUAAGUCCCUCCAAGGUGGGUUUUAUCAUCCCAUAAUGCACCUGGGCUUUGACGACUUGUCUAAAUCUGCAUUAGAGGAUGACAGCCACUUUGAGAAACCCUAAUUGUGUUAUCACCCAAGUCUGAUGCCAUCCUCUGGUUCACGGCUGACAUUUCAUCAGGUCGGGUAACUUUUGUCCAACAAAAUUACAGUGCUGGAAAUUGCUGAAGAGCACCCAGUGACUGCACGUAGAGCACAGUGGCAGAAAAGUGUACCAUGAUCAUGGAAGUGCCCCCAGCAGCUGCGUAUACUGUCCUGUUUGAACAGUUUUUGCAGUAUGGGUGCAUGUGUGUAGCAGGAGAUGAGGCGACAUCAUCAGCCUACUUCAAAAUGCUGUCUUGCUGUCACCAGGUGGCAACAUAACAGUAUUUCGUCAUGAUUUUGUCUUCAUACAUCACUGACAACUCAUGAUAUUCAGUGUUUUUUGUGACUACACUACGUUCUACCAAAAAAAAAAAUCCAGUUUCAGUUUCCAUUUUAUUUUGGUGCUGUGACUUGCUCCUUUAUUGAAAUAAGUAGGUAUCCGUAAUGCGGAAUUCAAGAAAAUAUUCUGUAUGGGUACCAUCCUGGCAGGGCAAGCUCUCCCCCGCCCCCCCCCCAGUCCAAUAGGCAGUUGUGUGAGUUGUUAUUAUUAUGACCAUUGUCGCUAUUAGCGUUAAUAUGUGAACUAUUAGUUUAUCUUCUGUAAAUGCUCAUGGACUGUAAAACGCGGGGAUGUGACAGCAAUACAGAUUCUUCCCAGUGAAACUGAAAGCCUGAAAUAGGAUAAUUUGUUGACGAACGUAAGGCUAAGCCCUCAAAAAAUGAGCAAAAUUACUGCUCUGUGCUUAAACUGUAUUAUUUUUGACUUUGUGAGAGCCGUGGGUGAUUGUAACACGUUGAGAUUUGUUGAGCUUGUGAAAUGUUUAGAAGAAAGCAUUUGGGUGAGCUUGAGGCUCCUUAACUAUUGCGUUGGAGCUGAAUACUCUGGUGCUUUCCACUUACAAAAGCAUAAAUUUGUAUUUCUCUUAAUCCUAACACAAAACACACUUGUAAAAAUAUCCAGCGUUUGUGAAAAACAAACUUAGGCGUGCUACAAAUCUUCUCUGAGUGGAGGUGAAUUACAUUUAUAUAGUUU